rnacentral:rRNA from 1 species
AAUGAACGUUGGCGGCGUGGAUUAGGCAUGCAAGUCGCGCGACAAGUUUUUUCUGCUUGCAGAAAAAUGGAGGAGCGGCGAAAGGGAGAGGAACACGUGGGUUACCUGCCCCUGGAUCCAGGAUAACUGCGGGAAACUGCAGGUAAUACUGGAUAACGUCUCCGGACCAAAGGUGUGAUUCCGUCCGGGAGGGGCCCACGUCCUAUUAGCUUGUUGGUGGGGUAAAAGCCUACCAAGGCAAAGAUGGGUACCGGGUGUGAGAGCAUGACCCGGCUCACUGGGACUGAGACACUGCCCAGACACCUACGGGUGGCUGCAGUCGAGAAUCUUCGGCAAUGGACGCAAGUCUGACCGAGCGACGCCGCGUGCGGGAUGAAGGCCUUCGGGUUGUAAACCGCUGUCAGAGGGGAGGAAAUGCCAUAGGGCACUCUCUAUGGUUUGACCGAUCCUCAGAGGAAGUCCGGGCUAAGUUCGUG